rnacentral:rRNA from 1 species
GACGAGGUGCACAAACGUUAUUCGGAUUUACUGGGCUUAAAGCGUGCGUAGGCGGCCUGGCAAGUUGGGUGUGAAAUCCCUCGGCUCAACCGAGGAAUUGCGCCCAAAACUGCUGGGCUGGAGUGAGACAGAGGUGAGCGGAACUGAUGGUGGAGCGGUGAAAUGCGUUGAUAUCAUCAGGAACACCGGUGGCGAAGGCGGCUCACUGGGUCUCUACUGACGCUGAGGCACGAAAGCUAGGGGAGCAAACGGG